rnacentral:lncRNA from 1 species
GGGACCGAGUCUCGCGAGCCCGGGCCCUCCUCGCAGCUGGGGCCCCACUGGCGCCCCCGCGGGAGCGCUACGGGAGAGGCGCCUAUGCGGCUGCAGGUUUUAUUAUGGAGCUGUCAAGGUAGAAAGCGCCGCUGGGUUAGAGUCUCCCCGACUGAGCUGGUCACGGCAAGUGGCGUCCAUUGUGGGGGCUCAAAUCCAGGUUGAAGGGUUGCCAGAGUGACGGUUGGAGAACGUGGAGAACUAAGCUGGAGGACACCCGAGUACUCUUAAAGCAAUCCCCAUGGCCAAAAUCAACAGCCGAUUUGGAUACCAUCAAGACACCUGAAACCUUAUCAUGAGCCAGAUGCCAAGGAAGAGAUUCCAGGAGGAUCCCAAGGACCCCCUGUUGCAGCCGUGUUGAGGCUGAUGCUCAGGAGGACCCCAACUGUCACAAGCAACACCUGU